GGCGCCGCUCGUGGCGCCGCGAAACGGCCCUUCAGGGAACGAAGGCGCGGAUCCCGUCAGACGGUCAGAACCUUGUCACACGCUCUCUGUUGUGUCUGUUUGUGUAAGGAAGACUUUGUAAAGAUGGAAAGGCAAGAAGAGCCCGAGGAACUUCGUGAGAUGGACGCCGAAGAAAGAGAAUUGGCAGAAUGCGAAAUGUUUCUGCGACUCCUUGCCUUGGUGCUCUGGAGAAACGGUCGAUGGCGAGCGGCCUUCGAUUUGUUGGCCAUCCUAAACCGGUACAACUAGUCGGUCGUUCCUGGGCCAGAAGAACUUGUCGGUCGCGUGACCGCAAAUUUUUUUGUUCGAUGCAAUAAACGGUGUUCUUCUAA